rnacentral:rRNA from 1 species
UGAGCAAUCUGCCCUUCUCUUCGGAAUAAGCGUUGGAAACGACGUCUAAUGCCGAAUACGACCUCCUUUCGCAUGAUCGGAGGUGGAAAGCUCCGGCGGAGAAGGAUGAGCUCGCGGCCUAUCAGCUAGUUGGUGUGGGUAAUGGCCCACCAAGGCGACGACGGGUAGCCGGCCUGAGAGGGUGACCGGCCACACUGGGACUGAGACACGGCCCAGACUCCUACGAGAGGCAG